ACGCACGAUGCAUAUCGGGCCUCUCUGAGAGUAUUUUCACCAAAGAAGAAAGCCCCAAUGCUCAGUGCUAAAACGUCGGCAUCAAGUAUUUUCCUUGCUAAAAAAUAAAUAAAUAAACUAGAUGUUACAAGG